rnacentral:rRNA from 1 species
GGUUUCCGUAGGUGAACCUGCGGAAGGAUCAUUACCGAGUUUUCGGGCUUCGGCUCGACUCUCCCACCCUUUGUGAACGUACCUCUGUUGCUUUGGCGGCUCCGGCCGCCAAAGGACCUCCAAACUCCAGUCAGUAAACGCAGACGUCUGAUAAACAAGUUAAUAAACUAAAACUUUCAACAACGGAUCUCUUGGUUCUGGCAUCGAUGAAGAACGCAGCGAAAUGCGAUAAGUAAUGUGAAUUGCAGAAUUCAGUGAAUCAUCGAAUCUUUGAACGCACAUUGCGCCCCUUGGUAUUCCGGGGGGCAUGCCUGUUCGAGCGUCAUUACAACCCUCAAGCUCUGCUUGGAAUUGGGCACCGUCCUCACUGCGGACGCGCCUCAAAGACCUCGGCGGUGGCUGUUCAGCCCUCAAGCGUAGUAGAAUACACCUCGCUUUGGAGUGGUUGGCGUCGCCCGCCGGACGAACCUUCUGAACUUUUCUCAAGGUUGACCUCGGAUCAGGUAGGGAUACCCGCUGAACUUAAGCAUAUCAAUAAGCGGAGGAGUCAUAG